rnacentral:rRNA from 1 species
UACGUAGGGUGCGAGCGUUAAUCGGAAUUACUGGGCGUAAAGCGUGCGCAGGCGGUUAUUUAAGCCAGACGUGAAAGCCCCGGGCUUAACCUGGGAAUGGCGUUUGGGACUGGAUAGCUAGAGUACGGCAGAGGGAGGUGGAAUUCCACGUGUAGCAGUGAAAUGCGUAGAGAUGUGGAGGAACACCGAUGGCGAAGGCAGCCUCCUGGGCCAGUACUGACGCUCAUGCACGAAAGCGUGGGGAGCAAACAGG